rnacentral:tRNA from 1 species
CAGGUUAUAGUUUAUUUAAAAUAUAGGCUUUGGGAGUCUAUGAUUCUGGGUUCAGAUGGCCUGA